rnacentral:piRNA from 1 species
UACUGCAUCUCUCAGCUAAGCUCAA